rnacentral:lncRNA from 1 species
AUGCCUGACAGCAGUGUAGACGAGAACACAGCGCACAGACCCGUGGGCGGUGUAGAUGAGAACAUAGCACACUGGCAGGUCUGCAGUGUAGACAAGAGCGCAGCGCACAGACACAUCUGCAGUGUAGACUGCAGGGCCCAAGACAGGGGAGGAGGUGCAUUAGCUUUAUUGGUCGCUGGUGCUUAUAAAAGUGGGGGCUCUGCCCCAUCACUGCUGGUGGAAGGCAUGGGCAGGGCCCGUGGCCCAGGGCGCUUGAGGUCCAGAGUCCUGGGUCAGGAAGCACAGACGCCACAGGUCAUCGGCAUGGGCCGCUGUGUGUCCACGCCAGCCACGGGGACGUGGGCCUCAAGGGUGAAGCGGCUCCUGGGACCUGGGUGGCUGUGGCCAGGUGCGAUCUGGGGGCAUCUGCCGAGCAGGGAGAGGAGGGGUGUGAGGGCCACCCUGUCUGGAGGGGCCUCUGGCUCCAUUCUUUUCAGCCCCUGUUGGCAGCGUGUCUGGCAUCCAGCCCACGAGCUUUGGAGCCACUACAACUCCAGAGCCAGAAGGGCCCAAUUCUGCCUUGGGCAAGCCUCAGUUUCCCCUCCUGGGUCACUGUCAGGGCUUAAAGGGGGGCCUCAGAGAGCAGACCCGUGUGACCCUCUCUGGGCUGAUGCUCAGGGAGGGCCAGGACUGUGUUUAAUUACAAUUAAUCAACGGCCUGGUCAUCACGCCAUGAGCAAGAGAGCAGGCUGGCAUCCAGAGGAUUCUGGGGGAGAUGGACUUAACAACAAGGCAGGGCCAGCAGGCAGGCAGUGA